ACAAAGAAGCUGGCUGGCCCCAGCUACUCUUGAGACAGAACUGUUGUCUCGAGUAAAUAACCAAUAAACCGACCAACAAUAUAAGAACCAACAAACUACAAAUCAAAGACUAUUAUCUGGAAGUCCUGCCUCCAUGUGCUCCUGAGAUCCACUGCGUUGACUUUAUAAUACUGGAAUCAACCACCCUCAAUAAUUUCACCCUCUGUACCCUUUACAGAGUUACAGUCAGGAAGAGAAGCUGUGUGGAAACCAAGGAGUUCAGAGACCUCUCUCGUGUGUGUGCUGGGGGGGGGGGGCUGCUCGCUCACGGACACGCUGCAAAACGUACACUCUACAAGGCUCGAUGUGGACAACGCUCGUAUGACAGAAGUAUUUUUGCGUA